rnacentral:rRNA from 1 species
CGUGUAGGCGGGAAAGAAAGUCAGAAGUGAAAUCCCAUGGCUUAACUGUGGAGCUGCUUCUGAAACUUCUUUUCUUGAGUGCUGGAGAGGAAAGUGGAAUUCCAAGUGUAGCGGUGAAAUGCGUAGAGAUUUGGAGGAACACCAGUGGCGAAGGCGGCUUUCUGGACAGUAACUGACGCUGAGGCGCGAAAGCGUGGGGAGCAAACAGGAUUAGAUACCCUGGUAGUCCACGCUGUAAACGAUGGAUACUAGGUGUAGGAGGUAUCGACCCCUUCUGUGCCGGAGUUAACACAAUAAGUAUCCCACCUGGGGAGUACGGCCGCAAGGUUGAA